rnacentral:tRNA from 1 species
GGAGAGGUGGCAGAGAGGCUGAAUGCGCCAGACUCGAAAUCUGGUAUACGGUUUACCGUAUCGAGGGUUCAAAUCCCUCCCUCUCCGCCA